AUUUGUAGAAAUUAUAUUCGGCCAACAAAAUUCUGUCUCAAAAUCACAAGCGCGAAAAAAAAAGUGGCAUCACGCAUACAGGGCCAUCUCAUGUAUCUUACAGGGAGUACAAAACACUCAAUCAAGUGCUUAAGUAAUCUAUUACGCCGCGAAUCGGGGGCAAGAGCCGCGUUACAUCGCGUCGGUAUUUCAACGGCACCUGCAAGCUUUUCGUAUUCGCCGGCAUGCAAACGCUGCGUAAUUUUAAAACGAACCAUCCCACAGUUCACCUCCACCCUACGUUGCCUCUCCAAGAAGACAACCAACACCGGAGGUGUGACCACGUCCACCAUGAUCUUGCAAGACGGGGUGAGCAUUGAGGAAUUGCCUGUCCUCAUUAAGAAACUUACCGCCGAGUCACUACUAUCGAGAGAGUAUGCAUCGAAACCGGACGCACCGCCCACAGAAACGCACGCAACCAUAGAGGCGAGCGGUAAAUUAUUUAAAGACUGUACGUCGAUUAAGGACGUGUACGCCACCUUGCACAAGUGUGAUUCCAAGGACAUAACUCCCGCUGUCGGCGUGAAAGCACUGGACAAAAUUUUAGAACUUCGGGAUUCUAACAAAAAUCACGCGCGAUCAAGACGGAAGAAUGAUGCGGACGGAGCUUCCGUCGUGAUCACUGAAUUGUGCAACCUUAUAACGUCUUCAGGAAGCUCCGAAGUUAUCUUGGACGGGCUUCGAACAGUCGUCAGGCACCGCCACAACGAAGCCGAGAGAAAACUAUACGUAGAUACUUUUAUCGAAGUCAUCUUCAGCCGAAUCUGCGAUGGGACUAUCAGCCUGCCCGAAAUCCUCGAGGUCACACUGUUGCUGGUGAACUGUGGCACGCAGUACCUCGACACCGUCGACCACUUCUGGCAGAGCAUUGUUACGCAGACUGUCGACAUGGAGAAGGACGACAUCGUUAAGCUCUAUGGCCUGCUCCCGUACUUCAAAAGCUCACAGAGCGUCGUGCUUCGGACAGUAGCUCGAAACACAACCAAGAAGAUUCUCAGUUUGAACUCCGAGGACGUCGCCUACAUACUCAACGUCCUGACACGGCUCAAGCUCGUUCCGCAGAGCCUGCUCUCAAGUCUUACGAAAUGGGUGAACCUGAACCUUCACGUCAUCCCAGAAAAAGACUUCGGUUCGGUCGUGCGCUGCCUGAAUGACCUGAGGCACCUCGACACAAGCAUCUCCAGGGCGGUCGAGCGCUAUGUCCGCAUCAGGGGCUCGAGUUGCGAUGAGCACACCAUUGACGCCUUGUCCGCAUAUUGUCACCAGUUCCGGUGGAGGAGCGAUGCCGUGUUGAGUUCCGCUUCCGAUUUCUUUGUGGCAAACCACAAAAGCAUGUCGCUGCCAACUGCCGUGAACAUGGUGAGGGCGUUUGGAUACCUGAACCUGACGCCCAAGAACCCCAUGGGCUUUUUUGGGUCGCUCGAGUGGCUGCUUCGCGAGAAGUUCAAUGUGUUUCGUCCCGAUCACUUGGUCGAAAUUCUGGUGGCCUGCGUCUAUCUUCAGAGGUACCCGCUCAACUUCGUCAAGAAGGUUUUCAGCCCAUACUUUCUUGACAGAAUGACUGACACGCUGGAAGAGAGCAUCCUCCGAAAGACUCACCAGAAACUCAAGUUCCUCGACUCUGCACUGACUUUGGAGUGCAAGCAGUACUACGGACCUUUCUUGCCCAGAUGGCAGGCUCUUGCGACUGAUGUGCUCGCUGCAAGAAGACAUGGAGCAGGUUGUGGGUGUUGAAAACUUCAGCUUCUCGGUUGUGCAGCCACGUCUUCCCCUACUCGACAUGUACAUCAUAGAUUAUGUGGUACAGCUGAACAAACAAGGAAAGCCUGUAACUUCAAAUGCUGUUGCUGGAGUUGACAAAAAGU
rnacentral:misc_RNA from 1 species